rfam:Danio rerio chromosome 20, GRCz11 reference primary assembly.
GUCAGAAUGGCAGAGUGGUCUAAGGCGCCAGACUUAAGGUGAUUUAACCUUCUUAGGUAGUGAGAAUUCUGGUCUCCAGCUGGAAGCGUGGGUUCAAAUCCCACUUUUGACA